CGCAAACCCAAACAACAAGUAGCUCCAUUAAUGAACACUCAAGAGGUAAUAUAGUCCAUGGUAUGAAAUGCAAAGGCUUAAUAUUGGAGGAGGAACCUGGAUCACCAAGACUAAAACGUCGAAACGGCGGGGGAAGACCUGAAAGUGAGAUGGUAAACAAAACAUGGGGGAAGGAAUUCACUGAUUCGCUGGCAAACUUAGCUAAAAUGUUACAAUCAAGGCAUGCCACAGGAAGCCAGGAAAGUUAAGUAAGUCAUGCACAUUUUGGUUCAAAGUUCCCUUCUUCUAAAAUCCAUUGAAACAAAAUUAGACCCACACCUAAUUCACCCAGUGAUGAAAGUUAAUCUAGAAAAUUCUAGAUAGGUCAUGUAAUGUAAGAAAAAACUUAUAUGCAUGUCCUAAAUUGUCUAGAAAAAUCUUGUAAAAUAUCUAUGUAAAAAAAUCUAAGUUUAGAAUAUUUGAGUGUGUGUUAGAAAUAUCAAGGUCUAGAAAAAUCUAAAAACUAAGGUACAACGACUAUAAAUAUGUUGUAUGUGUAUGAGUUAAAAGGUGAGCUCAAAUGAGAGUUAGCAAGAUGAGCUCAAAUGAGGGGGAGCCAAAUAAAGUGAGCUACACACAAGAUAUUAGGAAAGGUAGAAACAAAGGGUUCUACCAAGGUGAAUGAGAGACAUGAGCUCUCACAAACACACUUGUACAAUUAAUUAUCAAUGAAAAUUCAAUUUUACGAUACUAUUCGAGUCCAUCAAAACUCCCGUGUGCGCCACAAAUUCUAUCAGUUUUGUGAGGCUCAAGGUAAUUAAUGCAAGAGACCCUAAGAGGUAUAAGAAUAAGAAUAAUCAUAAAAACACAAAGGUGGGAUAGCAGUGAAGGAUAUCCGAAUGCAUUUAUGAGGAAUGUUUCCCUAGGUUCACUAUCUCCCUCUUCAGUUGUAGGACUUGAGUACACUUCACCUGAAAAGAUGGAAAAUACAAGCUUAUGCUGCUACCAUUUUCGUUCCUUACUCUACCCCAAUCCCAAACACAACUUAUGCUGCUACCAGUAAAAAAAAAAAACGAACCAUACCAUAUUACCAACUGAACAAAAAAUUCCAAACCCAACUGUAAUUGAUCAGGAGGAUCCCAGACCAAUUGUGGAUGUUCUGAUAGUGAAUGAGACACAAAAAAGUGGCAAAGGUAAAGCUACUAUUAAGGGUGGGAUGGAAAUAUCUGGACCUAGUCACACUCACCGUCUAAGCCUAGAUGAUAUCUAUUACUCGGCAGAAUCAGAGUUGGGCCAGCUGGAUCUUGGUAAAAUGGACACAGAUGGAACGAAGGUUACCCAACAAUCCUCGGAUUCUUCCCUACCCAUGGACCAUUUGGAAAAUAAAAUGGGAAAAAGGUGAAAAAAUUGGUGAGUAUUAUAGAAAAAGAGAGAAAACAUAGAAAGAAACAACUAAAGAAGGCUCGUGGCUUGGGUACUUGGGCAGUAAAUUUCUGGGGAAGAUUUAUAGAAGAAAUAUCUGCAGUAAAGGGGAAGAAACGUUAAUGAAAGAGCAACAGUCCAUUAUGAAGAGUCCCUACUGGAUUCAUCAGGAAACGCCAGUUCAUCAUCGAAGAGGCUCAGAGGGAAGUGAUACUGCAAGGGUUAUGAUGACUGACCCAACUCACUCAUCAAAUGAGAUAUGAAGGCCUGUGGAACUAUAGGGGCCUUAAAUCUACUAACUCCCCUACUUUUCCCUUCCUCAAAUGGCUAGUUAGUAGUGAAGCUUUAGAUUUUCUUUUUUCAUCGGAAACUAAAUGUAUGGCUUCUAGCUUAAAACCUUUAUCUAGUAAGUUAGGUUAUGGGAACUGGGUGGGCAAUGACUCUUAUGGCCUCUCUAGAGGCCUAUAUUUGUGUUGGUCGCCCAAAGUUGUUGUCCAAGUCGUUUUCAUAUCCAGAUUGUGGCGGAUGUUGAAAGAUUUUGUAUAGGGGCCAGAUUUUUUCACAAUAACAUAUUAACAGAUAUGAAAGUAUAAAACUAUAAGAACGUAUGAAUAUACUUCUAAAUCCAAUGUAAAAAUAUAGAUUAAACUAAAAUAUCACAAAAUAGAUAUAAAAAUAUUAAAACCACAAGGUCAUGAUCCCACUAUUGAAAAAAGAACUAAAGUAACGCUCGACGGUCUUUCAAAAUUUUAAAAUCAUCAAUAAUUGACUUGGUGCUAAAACUCUUAGAAAUUUCCCUUUCAAUAUAAAUAACUAAGCUAUUCGCCAAAAACUCAUCUUCCAUUUUAUUACGCAGUCUUGUCUUCAUGGUUUUCAUGGAUGACAAUGCUCUUUCAGUUGUAGCUGUUGACACAGAAAGAGUCAAUAUUAGACGUAUUAAUCUGUCAAACAAAAAAUAAGCAUUUGACUUUCCUGUUUUUGCCAAUUGUUCACAAACCUCCUCCAAGGUAGAAUAAUUUCUCAUAUUUUGACCAUCUUUCACUUCACAAAAGAAAUGUUGCAAUUGAUCCUUCAUAUUGUACCUCUCUUGCUCGGUAAAAUCUUUUGGAUAAUAAUUUUCUACUACUAUGCAAAUCUUAUUGAUAUCAAA